UUGAUCAACCCGAUCAUAGAAAAGCAUACAAGGAGUGGAUUCUUGAGACAAUUGAAGACACUUGGAAUCUCUUCUACAAAAAUUUCGUUGCACUUUGGGAUGAACACAGAAAUGGUGCUGGCGAGGCAUAUCUUCCAGCAGUUUAUAACAAUCCUGAGGUUCAACUCCUUGCGCAGAAGAGAUACAUGGCAGAAUUGUUUCAUGACAGUCUUGGAUUUGGUGCUGCCAAAAUGAUAAGGAGAAUCGUAGGGGUGGCGCAUGUUGAGGAUUUUGAAUCCAUUACUGAUGCUGCUAAACGGGCUUCCUGUGAACGGAAGGCUCUUAACUUGGCUAAGAUGCUUCUCAAAGAUAGAGCAAAAUUUGAAGGCAUUGCCCAGGUUGUUUCGGCAAUUCGGCAAUUUUAGUAUUCACAAGCUUUUCGCUAA